rnacentral:lncRNA from 1 species
AAAAAAAAAAAAAACGUGAAAGGGAGGAAAAUCGAGAAAAUGAAAGUAAAAAGCAAGGAAGGUGGAUAGAAAGGAAGACUCGGGAGGAGAGGAGCAAAGGAAAGGCUACCCGAACAUUAACAAAGAAAGCUCAAGAAUUCCACCAGUAGUUUGCCAAAACUCAGCUGGACAGACCACAGUGGAGUUGACUUCAAAGAAUCAGCUAGCUCCACUGCCGGCAGCAAACACCGCAAUUGUACUGUUUUUUGUUUUUGUUUUUG